rfam:Corchorus olitorius cultivar O-4 contig24367, whole genome shotgun sequence.
AAACCAGCUUUAUUAAAAGCCACAAUGAGAAAAUAUACCUUUAUGU